GACGACGCUGGCGGCGUGCUUAACACAUGCAAGUCGAACGGUGACGAGGAGCUUGCUCCUCUGAUCAGUGGCGAACGGGUGAGUAACACGUGAGCAACCUGCCCCAGACUCUGGGAUAACAGUUGGAAACAGCUGCUAAUACCGGAUACGAGACGGAGAGGCAUUUCUACCGUCUGGAAAGUUUUCGGUCUGGGAUGGACUCGCGGCCUAUCAGCUAGUUGGUGAGGUAAUGGCUCACCAAGGCGACGACGGGUAGCCGGCCUGAGAGGGCGACCGGCCACACUGGGACUGAGACACGGCCCAGACUCCUACGGGAGGCAGCAGUGGGGAAUAUUGCACAAUGGGCGAAAGCCUGAUGCAGCGACGCCGCGUGAGGGAUGACGGCCUUCGGGUUGUAAACCUCUUUCAGCAGGGAAGAAGCGAAAGUGACGGUACCUGCAGAAGAAGCACCGGCUAACUACGUG
rnacentral:rRNA from 1 species